CCGUCUUGGACUUUGUAUGCUAGUGUUAGCAAUUUGAAUUUGAUGUGUGCUGCUAGCGGUAGCCAGGGGAGCUCAAUGAACAGAGGGGUGACGUGUGCUCUUUUAGGCCGACUGAAGACCAGACGCGCCGCUGUGUUCUGGACCAUUUGAAGAGGUCUCAUAGUGCAGCCUGGAAGACCAGUUAGAAGGGCAUUGCAGUAAUCGAGGCGUUUCCUGAGUGGUUUUUCUUUGUUUCGCUACCUGAGUGGUAUUUUUGUUAAUAUUAAUAAUAGUUUGUUUGUCCUCAUUUUCAUGAGAGACUUUGCUCACCCUUUUGGUGCGGCUUUUGUGUUAUUUCGUGUAGUUUUAUUUCAGCCCUUUUGCGCUGCGCUUUUGUUAAUUAAAAAUUGUUUAAUUUGUUAGACAUCCCUUUCGUUAUUUAUACCCAGCAAUUGGAUGACAUUUUUGUUUCCUUUUCAGCCCAGAGUGCUGUUUGUUUUAAUAAACUUCCUUCUAAGAGUUUUAAAUUAGUUAGUUUCAUUCACAUAUAUAUGUUUCUUUACUCCCUUAACAUCCAUCGUGCUCCUAGUGAAGCCAAGGGACGUAAAAGAGUGGGGCCUUGUCCGGGAUUUAUUGUUAUUUAUAACAUCGACAACCCGUUUUUACAUUUACCACUUAUACUGUGUUUGAAACUAUUUUUUUUAUUCUCUUAGAGGCAAGGCAGAGGCUAUGUCAUCCUUUGACGUACAGGCAUGUGUGGAGGCUCCAUCGCGCCGGCUGCUGGAGGGUUGUAGGAAAUCCGACCUGCAGCAGGUUGCCGCCCACUUCAGUCUGCUCGUCCCCAAGCAGCUGACCAAAGACGCCUUACGUCAGUUCGUCCUGGAUUCCCUGGUUUUCCAAGAGAUCCUUCCGCCGUCUUCGAAACCAGUGUCAUGCCCACCGUCACCGCCGGUGAUUCCCUCCCAGAAGUUUCCGGAGGAAGAAAAUUAAGGUGGGACACCUUCCGUUUUUAGUAAAAUAUUGAAAAUAAAACACAGAAAUAGCGUUUUUAUUUAGGAAGAAUGGCUCACUGGAUUAUUGAAUAAGACUAGUUAUUGAAAGACUGGCUGAUGUGUCCAAUUAUGUAGAGAAUCAAACUACAUAUUAGAAUCAACACUGUUUGCUGUCAGUUGUUAGAUUGUGGAAAAAUGACCAUGCAUAUUAAUCUAUGAAGCUUAUAUCAUACAUAAAUAUCCCGGAUACUUAUGUAUGAUCUAAGUUCAUACACCAACCUGUUUGUGUCAUCGUUCUCAGGUCUAGGUGAGUCCUCCUCCUCAAUUAACAAUCUUUGGGGUUCUGUGUUCCACAGGUGAGGAGCGGAGAGGUACCAGCUGGGCUGAGUUAAUCAUUUGGAGCUCGGGUUUAAAAGGAGGAUGGAGACACUACUCGAAGCCGGAUGAUUACUCCAGUAUUGGAUUACCACCCCAACCUUCACCAAAUUCUGCUAAGAACCACGGAUC